rnacentral:tRNA from 1 species
ACCUAUGAAGCGCCUGUGGAAAGGAUAAUUUUGAUGGGGUUAAACACGUGCGCGACACCUUCAUAA